UACAGAGGUCUCAAGCGUUGUUCGGAAUUACUGGGGCGUAAAGGGCUCGUAGGUGGCCAACUAAGUCAGACGUGAAAUCCCUCAGCUUAACUGGGGAACUGCGUCUGAUACUGGAUGGCUUGGAUUCGGGAGAGGAAUGCGGAAUUCCAGGUGUAGCGGUGAGAUGCGUAGAUAUCUGGAGGAACACCGGUGGCGAAGGCGGCUACACUGGCCCGAUACUGACGCUGAGGCACGAAAGCGUGGGGAGCAAACAGGG
rnacentral:rRNA from 1 species